rnacentral:lncRNA from 1 species
GAAAGAGUUCUGAUUGGAAGCUUCGCCAGCGCACAAGUUUCUCAAGAGUCUAAGAGAUGGAAGGAGAUAUUCACGAUCAGGGAUGGAUUCGACGAACCGGAGAACGUCGGGGAGAACAUUCAUAGAAGCUAGGGCAGAGCGGCCUUCAUCCGACCGUGCGGCAGAUACAAGAACCUCCAAGGCUUCUUUAGGAUCACUGGAAUUAGCAGCUGCCAACAACGGCA